rnacentral:rRNA from 1 species
GACGAACCGUGCGAACGUUGUUCGGAAUCACUGGGCUUAAAGGGCGCGUAGGCGGGCAUUCAAGUCGGUGGUGAAAUCCUCCAGCUUAACUGGAGAAGAGCUGUCGAUACUGGAUGUCUCGAGGGGUGCAGGGGUCUGCGGAACUUCGGGUGGAGCGGUGAAAUGCGUAGAGAUCGGAAGGAACGCCCGUGGCGAAAGCGAGGUCCUGGACGCCUACUGACGCUGAGACGCGAAAGCCAGGGGAGCAAACGGG